UCGCUGUGAUGACGAUAUUUUCCUGCCAUUCGUAGUUUCCACCAGAGGUCAUUUGACCAAAGAUGGCUUAAUACUUCCUUGGAUGUCUGAGCGA